rnacentral:rRNA from 1 species
GAUGAACGCUGGCGGCGUGCCUAAUACAUGCAAGUCGAGCGAACGGACGAGAAGCUUGCUUCUCUGAUGUUAGCGGCGGACGGGUGAGUAACACGUGGAUAACCUACCUAUAAGACUGGGAUAACUUCGGGAAACCGGAGCUAAUACCGGAUAAUAUUUUGAACCGCAUGGUUCAAAAGUGAAAGACGGUCUUGCUGUCACUUAUAGAUGGAUCCGCGCUGCAUUAGCUAGUUGGUAAGGUAACGGCUUACCAAGGCAACGAUGCAUAGCCGACCUGAGAGGGUGAUCGGCCACACUGGAACUGAGACACGGUCCAGACUCCUACGGGAGGCAGCAGUAGGGAAUCUUCCGCAAUGGGCGAAAGCCUGACGGAGCAACGCCGCGUGAGUGAUGAAGGUCUUCGGAUCGUAAAACUCUGUUAUUAGGGAAGAACAUAUGUGUAAGUAACUGUGCACAUCUUGACGGUACCUAAUCAGAAAGCCACGGCUAACUACGUGCCAGCAGCCGCGGUAAUACGUAGGUGGCGAGCGCUAUCCCCAAGAAUUAUUUGGGGCGUAAAGCGCGCGUAGGCGGUUUUUUAAGUCUGAUGUGAAAGCCCACGGCGUCAACCGUGGAGGGUCAUUGGAAACUGGAAAACUUGAGUGCAGAAGAGGAAAGUGGAAUUCCAUGUGUAGCGGUGAAAUGCGCAGAGAUAUGGAGGAACACCAGUGGCGAAGGCGACUUUCUGGUCUGUAACUGACGCUGAUGUGCGAAAGCGUGGGGAUCAAACAGGAUUAGAUACCCUGGUAGUCCACGCCGUAAACGAUGAGUGCUAAGUGUUAGGGGGUUUCCGCCCCUUAGUGCUGCAGCUAACGCAUUAAGCACUCCGCCUGGGGAGUACGACCGCAAGGUUGAAACUCAAAGGAAUUGACGGGGACCCGCACAAGCGGUGGAGCAUGUGGUUUAAUUCGAAGCAACGCGAAGAACCUUACCAAAUCUUGACAUCCUUUGACAACUCUAGAGAUAGAGCCUUCCCCUUCGGGGGACAAAGUGACAGGUGGUGCAUGGUUGUCGUCAGCUCGUGUCGUGAGAUGUUGGGUUAAGUCCCGCAACGAGCGCAACCCUUAAGCUUAGUUGCCAUCAUUAAGUUGGGCACUCUAAGUUGACUGCCGGUGACAAACCGGAGGAAGGUGGGGAUGACGUCAAAUCAUCAUGCCCCUUAUGAUUUGGGCUACACACGUGCUACAAUGGACAAUACAAAGGGCAGCGAAACCGCGAGGUCAAGCAAAUCCCAUAAAGUUGUUCUCAGUUCGGAUUGUAGUCUGCAACUCGACUACAUGAAGCUGGAAUCGCUAGUAAUCGUAGAUCAGCAUGCUACGGUGAAUACGUUCCCGGGUCU